rnacentral:rRNA from 1 species
UACGAAGGGGGCUAGCGUUGCUCGGAAUCACUGGGCGUAAAGCGCACGUAGGCGGAUACUUAAGUCAGGGGUGAAAUCCCGGGGCUCAACCCCGGAACUGCCUUUGAUACUGGGUAUCUCGAGUCCGGAAGAGGUGAGUGGAAUUCCGAGUGUAGAGGUGAAAUUCGUAGAUAUUCGCAAGAACACCAGUGGCGAAGGCGGCUCACUGGCCCGGUACUGACGCUGAGGUGCGAAAGCGUGGGGAGCAAACAGG